rnacentral:misc_RNA from 1 species
AUGCGAUAAGUAAUGUGAAUUGCAGAAUUCAGUGAAUCAUCGAAUCUUUGAACGCACAUUGCGCCCGCCAGUAUUCUGGCGGGCAUGCCUGUUCGAGCGUCAUUUCAACCAUCAAGCCCCCGGCUUGUGUUGGGGACCUGCGGCGCGCCCGCAGGCCCUGAAAACCAGUGGCGGGCUCGCUGACCACACCGAGCGUAGUAGCAUUUCUGUCUCGCUCAGGGCGUGCGGCGGGUUCCGGCCGUGAAACCCACCCCCCAAGGGGUACCCAAAGGUUGACCUCGGAUCAGGUAGGAAGACCCGCUGAACUUAA